rnacentral:lncRNA from 1 species
UGGACCCAUUUCUUGACUGAAAUUUGAUUAUAGCCUGUAAAAUAGUCCGUAUGUGGAUUUCGGUCAAUUUCUGUUUGGAAUUUGGAAACACUUUCUUCUGUAAAGUUGUAGAGAAUUGAAUUUUCUAUAAAAAUUCGCGAGAUUCGAAUUUUCUGAUAAAAGGGCUAUUUAUUAUGAAUUAUUGAAGUUCUGGAAUAAUUGAUUUUAUUUUAUUUUUGGAGCUUUAAAUGAUUUUUGUGUGAAAAACAUUUUUUGGUGAGUUUAAUGCAUGUGUGGCUGAUGUUUUGAUCAAAUGAGGGGUGCGUAGGAAUUUUAAAAAAUAUAUAUUAAUAUUAUAUUCAAUUUUCUGCUUUGGUGUUCUAAGCAUUUUCCUAUAAAUAGGGUGCUUAGGUUAGAAUUGAAAAUCACACCAGAAACUGAAAUUUUCUCUCUAUUUCUCUCUCUAUAUUAUUGAGUGUAUUCUUGUGAGUAUUUUGAUAUCUUGAGUGUUGCUAUACGGUGCAAGUUCGUUCAGCGUUAUUCCAGUCAGAAGUACUGCUCUUUUGAGGUAAGAGAUAGUAAGGGAUUUUAAGGGAUUGAAAGGAAUGUUAUUUUCUUCGUAAGUGAUAUUAUUUCUUCAAUAUCAUUAUGUUGAAAUAUUGGGUUGAACUUUUUU